rnacentral:tRNA from 1 species
AAGAAAGAAGCAUAAGUGGUUAGUGCGGUUGGCUUGAAACCAACAUGAGGAGGUUCGAUUCCUUCCUUUCUUG